CAAAUACUCCCUCCGUCCCAAAAAGAUUGUCUUAGAUUUGUCAAGAUACGGAUGUAUCUAGACACAUUUGGUGUUUGAUACAUCCGUAUCUAGAUAAACCUAAGGCAAGCUUUUUGGGACGGAGGUAAUACGUU
rfam:Triticum aestivum genome assembly, contig: Triticum_aestivum_CS42_TGACv1_scaffold_361046_4DS